rnacentral:rRNA from 1 species
AUGGCCAGGAAGGGCGGAGAGAGGAAGAAGGCGGUGACCCGGUCCACCAAGGCCGGCCUCCAGUUCCCCGUCGGCCGCAUCGGGCGCUUCCUCAAGAAGGGCCGCUACGCGCAGCGCGUCGGCUCCGGCGCCCCCGUCUACCUCGCCGCCGUCCUCGAGUACCUCGCCGCCGAGGUGCUGGAGCUCGCCGGCAACGCCGCCAAGGACAACAAGAAGACCCGCAUCGUGCCGCGCCACCUGCUCCUCGCCAUCCGCAACGACCAGGAGCUCGGCAAGCUGCUCGCCGGCGUCACCAUCGCGCACGGCGGCGUGAUCCCCAACAUCAACCCCGUGCUGCUCCCCAAGAAGGCCCUCGAGAAGGCCGAGAAGGAGUCCCAGUCGCCCAAGUCGCCCAAGAGGAAGGCCCCCGCCCCCGCACCCGCCGCCAAGAAGACCCCCAAGAAGACCGCCGCCGACAAGAAGACCGCCGCCGCCGACAAGAAGACCGCCGCCGCCGACAAGAAGACCGCCGCCGCUGACAAGAAGACCGCCGCCGCCGACAAGAAGGCUGCCGCCGACGCCGAGGAGGAGGCCGCCGCCGACGAGUAG